rnacentral:misc_RNA from 1 species
GAUGAAGAACGUAGCGAAAUGCGAUAAGUAAUGUGAAUUGCAGAAUUCAGUGAAUCAUCGAAUCUUGGAACGCACAUUGCGCCCGCCAGUAUUCUGGCGGGCAUGCCUGUUCGAGCGUCAUUUCAACCAUCAAGCCCCAGGCUUGUGUUGGGGACCUGCGGCUGCCGCAGGCCCUGAAAACCAGUGGCGGGCUCGCUGUCACACCGGGCGUAGUAGAUUUUAUCUCGCUCUGGGCGUGCUGCGGGUUCCGGCCGUUAAAAAACCCUUUUAACCCAAGGUUGACCUCGGAUCAGGUAGGAAUACCCGCUGAACUUAAGCAUAUCAAUAAGCGGAGGA